AGGUGGGGAACAGAGUUUUGUCGCUUCCCCUUUCUCCAUCCUCACCCGUUCCCCGUUCCACUUCACACUCGGCCCGGCGACGAGCCAAAUCCCCACCAAAUCCCUAGGGCUUCGCCGCGAGCGCGGUCGGCGAGGAGUUAAUUGAGGAAGGCGACGGCCCGGCGAAGGAUUCCGCAUAGCUCGAAACGGGGUGAGGGCAGAGCGCGCGUGCCGGAGAAGGAGGAGAAGGUAGCGGCGACGGGGAAGGGGGUGGACCUGAUGAUUCUGCGCGAGGCGGCGACGACCCCGAGGGACGCGAGAUCCUGCUGCUUUGAUGACCCGAGGUAUGGCUGCAGCGAUGUACAAUGCUGAAAACUGGGACGGCACCUAUGUCCUGGAAGGCAAGGUGCAAGACAAUAGGCAAGAUAAUUCAAGAGCAGGCAUUUCUUCUCAAGCAUCCAGAUUCAACAUAGGGAAGAGGACAGUGGCGGAGCCAGCAAAAUAGAAUGAGGAGGGCCGAGUAUUGUUAAACCUUGUUGGGGUGGGCCAAUCCAUCAAAAACACCCAUUUUUAGCAAAAAAUCACUGCUACUAUUCAUAUAUUAGGCCUAAAUCACAUAUGUUAGGGGGGGCCAGGGCCCUGGCUGGCACCCCCCUGUCUCCGCCACUGGAAGAGGAGGCAACUACAUGUGAAGGCUAGCAGUAUCACACGGGAGGUACAGAGGGGUAGUCCCAGUAGUUCAAGAACUAAACAGGAAUCAAGAUUUUCUGUUUUGUUUUUGCCCAAGGAUUAGUAGGGAUAAUAGUAGUGCAGAGUACUUCUACCUUGGUGUUUUUUCUGGGAGGAAUUGCCCAGUUUGUCGAAAUUUUCUUGCCAACGUUUGCUCCACAAUAUUGCCUGAUCAGCAACAAAGAGUUGCAGGGCAAGAUCUAUGGCCUUCUUCAGGAUUUGGCUUGAAUUGCC